rnacentral:rRNA from 1 species
UUUAAAUAGCUGCAGUAUUUUAACUGUACAAAGGUAGCAUAAUAAUUAGUCUUUUAAUUGAGGUCUUGAAUGAAUGGUUUAACAAGAAAACUACUUUAUUAAGUUAAUUGUGUUAAUUUUAUUUUUUAGUUAAAAAGCUAAAAUUUUUAAGUGGGACGAUAAGACCCUAUAGAUCUUUAAAUUUUUUUUAAAAAAUUAAUUUUGGUUAAUUAAAUUUUUAUUUAGAAAAAAUUUUUUAUUGGGGUGAUAUAUAAAAUUUUUAUACUUUAUGGAAUUUUUUCAUUUAUUAAUGAUUAAAUGAACCUAAAUUUUAGGUUGUUAAAAUAAGAUACCUUAGGGAUAACAGCGUAAUAAAUUUGUAUAGUUCUUAUAGAUAAAUUUGUUUACGACCUCGAUGUUGAAUUAAUUUUAAAUUUUGGAGUAGAAGAUAAAGGUUUAGGUCUGUUCGACCUUUAAAAAGUUACA